rnacentral:lncRNA from 1 species
CUGGUGGCGAGAAGCCAGCUCCCUGGUCCCUAGUCACUCCCGUGAUAACUAACCUGCUCUGGUGAAGUGGCCCCGGGACACCAUCACCUCUCAGAGCCCACCCCCUUCCCUUGAGUGACAGUUAAAUUUCAACAUGAGCUUUGAGGAUGGUCUGGUGCCCAGGACCAUGCACCGUCUCUGUCUCUGUUUUUCCUUCUUUGUUUUCAUCUCACCUGUUUCUUGUUGUGCUGGGUGGAACCCAGCCGGGCAGGUAGGGAGACGCUCCACCCCUGAGCCACGGCCCCGCUCUCCUCCACGACUCGGUUCAGCAGAAACAGGAUGGUGGACGCUGUGGUUGUUGAAGGCUGCAAGGAAGGCAUCUCAGAGGACCAAGGGGAGGACAUGCAAGCAGAGAGGUCCUGCUGUGACAGUGAGGAAGAUGGAGACCACAGCGAUGCCCAGGAGAUGGGCACUGAAGAGGUGGCACUGAAGAGGUGGCACUAGACAGGAGGAAUGAAAGGAAGCCUACCUUCAGGAUGCUGACUCCUUCGAGGUAUGAUGUCGUAAGGAAUAAACGCACCCCUU